rnacentral:misc_RNA from 1 species
CGACAGAGGCGAUCGGAAACCAAGCUAACAGAUGGUAAUCAUACUGCGCCGUGCCACGCUUACAAAUCACAAUGCACCUACUGUACAUACUGUACGAUUGUACUAGCAGAUACCCCAUCUCAACAGCCCUGUACACAGCCCCGCUAAACCUACUGUCACCAUCGCUACUGCAGAGAAGAGGGCUAACGCGAGUUUGUUUGUGUGGGGGAGGGUGUCAGAUCAGCUCCGACGGAGAAAUCUGAGUAAUUCGUCGACAAUUGGAGCAUUUGUGACCAGAUCAGCUCCGACGAGGAAAUCUGAGUAAUUCGUCGACAAUUGGAGCAGUUGUGACCAAGACAAAUGGUCACGCCCGGAGUUGCGUCCUUCUUUGCUCAUUGAUAUGGUGUAACAAUGAUAAACCAAGGCCCAUUGAUUGAGACGGAGAUAUUUUCGGCGUGUCUAGGGUGUCUACUUGUGCACCGGAACAUGGAAGAUCGUGCGCUGUUCACUUGCAACAGAAGGCUAACGAGAGAAACUGGGCCAACCCGUCUAUGCUCUUCAUGCUACUCAAUCUAUUCAAAAUACGCCAGUGCUCCCCUUGCCUUAUACACAGGCUCUUCACUCACAUCUUGACCAUCUUGGAUGUGGGUACUGUAGCUCCUGGGAACCAGUCGCGCGGGAGCAUGAGAACCACGUCGAAGAAGAUGGUGACCCAGGAAAGCAAAAACUUGGGCACAUUCUUGUAGAUACCCUGACCUGUCGUGGUCGAAGAUACCGUCGAAAACCAGCUGUCCCAUUGACAGAAACCCUCCUCCUGUAUCUAGCAGAACGCUGGCAAUAGAAAAGCCAUUAGUGGACUUUCGCGUGUAGUUCGUCGCAGCAGAGGAUAGUGCUUGUGUCCAGAGGUGUCCGAGCGUCGACAAGCAUACAGCCCUCGGGUGGUUGUGUCGAAAUACAACAGCCAGUCCUCCACGAUCCAGCUCAGAUAGCCCUGGGUGUUGAGAUAGAGACAAGUCGAGCGAGAUGUUCUCAGUGGACUUGAGUUUGAUGUUGUGAAAGAUGGUUGGAUUGAGAGCACAACUCCAUAGAACAUAGUAGUCUCAGUCCAUGAGCUAGGAGAGAAUCUCCAGUGCUGAUGUCAUUUGAAGAAGAAGAGGAAGAAGAAGACAGAUAGAUCAACUCAGCCCUUCCAGUUGCCGUACAAUGACUCAACCAAAUGCGUUCAAGCCUGCGUUCAAGCCUGCGUGCUCUUUCUGUCUCAUUAGUUGAACGUAGAUCAUCUGAGAGAACUUGGCAGACCGUGCAAACACAAGGGUGAGACUGAUAGGACACUUGAUCUGAUCCAAAAUUUGACAGAGGAAAACUCGUUUUGAAGUUACUGAACGUUUCUUCUCCAAUUGCUUCUAACCCCCCCCCACAUAGGUUUCGGGGUCUGCCAGAGUUCCGACACAGAGACUUCAAACAAGUAAGUGACGACAAAAUAUGAUCUCUGAUGAGAACUUGACUUGGCCAUAUCGCUAAAAUACCCACCCUGAACUUUUUGCGUUCCCUUGCAUUGUAAAGACCACCUUGUAGAUGACCAAAGGAUGAAACCGCCAUUUAUAGGCUGCAAACAAACAAAAAAGCGACACGA